rnacentral:piRNA from 1 species
UGACUACUACGUGUUUGAUCUGGUUUGG